GAUGAAGAACGCAGCGAAAUGCGAUAAGUAAUGUGAAUUGCAGAAUUCAGUGAAUCAUCGAAUCUUUGAACGCAUAUUGCGCCUCUUGGUAUUCCAAGAGGCAUGCCUGUUCGAGCGUCAUUAAUAUUCUAAGGCUUUGCCUUGUAUUGCUAUAACAAUUCCGUUGUAGUUAAACUGAUUGUUGUCAUCAAGUAAUUGGCCUGUAGUUAAUAUACAGACUCCUUAUAUGAGCACAGCUAUAAUCAUUCAAUUUUGACCUCGGAUCAGGUAGGGAUACCCGCUGAACUUAAGCAUAUCAAUAAGCGGAGGA
rnacentral:misc_RNA from 1 species